CUUCUUCGUGCUUAUUACAACUCUUGCGCUAUGCUACUAAAGAGACAGCGGGAAGGUCUUCUUGGCUUGCAUGCGCUCUUGCUCCAGCACCUCUGUGUCAUCCAGUACCUCCAGACUGGGGAUCUGACUGAUCACAUACUGCCUGAGGGGAGGAAUGCCAACAUGCCCAUCAGAACAUCACCAUAAUGAUCAUAAACAUGGAUUACAACACAUAAAGGCCGCAGUGCGCAUGCAGCCCAGCAAAGCCAGGCACCUUGGAGGAAGUGGUCAGCUUCGUGAAGGGGUCAGCUUCGUGAAGUGGUCAGCUUCGUGAAGGGGUCAACGGCAGAUCAAUAUAGCCGAGGCUAUUUACUCGAUUUUACUGGUUUAAUUUUAGACUGGUCACAAAAUUAUUUUGAUUGUUUUGCUAUGGAAGGACUUCCUAAGUCACCAUGCUGUAAUUUGUCUGUCCAAUUAGGCCCAGAAGAAGUGUUCGGAUUGAUAAACUACCCAUCUAGUUUAAUCUGACAUCAUUUUGUGGAGUAUUUAUGUUCAGAAAGGAAAACACAAGCUUUAUCAUCAGAUUAAAUAGCACAAUAUUGAAGUCAAGCCCUCAAGUGAUCAUGUGCACAGUUGAAGAUGGUGGUGGGAGUAGCAUGUGUCUUCGAGAUCCCCAAUAUUUUUCCAUGGAUACAUGUCAAGAUACAUAUAUAGUUCAAGAGUAAUAGCUAAAAACAGUAAUUUAUUUUGUAAGGCCU